rnacentral:rRNA from 1 species
UAAGGAAUAUUGCUCAAUGGGAGAAAUCCUGAAGCAGCAACGCCGCGUGGAGGAUGAAGGGUCUAUGACUUGUAAACUCCUGUAAAGAAGGAAAAAAUUCCCAUUUGAUGGGAGAUGAUGGUACUUCUGGAGUAAGCCCCGGCUAACUACGUGCCAGCAGCCGCGGUAAUACGUAGAGGGCAAGCGUUGUCCGGAUUUACUGGGUGUAAAGGGUGCUCAGGCGGAUUUGUAAGUCAGAGGUGAAAUCUUACAGCUUAACUGUGAAACUGCCUUUGAUACUGCAAGCCUAGAGUAUGGAAAGGAGUGAUAGAAUAUCUGGUGUAGCAGGGAAAUGCGUAGAUAUCAGAUAGAACACCGAUGGCGAAGGCAGUCACUUGGUCCAUUACCGACGCUAAAGCACGAAAGCGUGGGUAGCAAACA